GUAGCGUUAAUUUAUUUCUCAAUUAUAUUUUUCUCGUCGACAUGAUAAAUAAAUAUUAGUCUCAGCAACUGAUAAGUAUCGAUGUCGAUAUUAUCGACUUUCCCAUUCCCGGGAUACUUGUUUACGCGAUCGCCGGCGCCAUGUUGUAACGGUCCGCCGCAGCCACCAUUGUACAUCUGACUGCAGCGCUGGACGCACGUCGCUCGUGCGAGCGUUAACGGCCGCGCCUUGUUUCGCGAUGUCGAAUAUAAUACUCGUAUAGGGAACAAGUGCUGUGCCCCUAAGUUUUCGAAUAUAUUCAAGUGUAUCUGUUUUCCCCCGCUUUGGGGUCUACCCUACGGGCUAAUUCAACGUCCACGCCUGCCCUUAUCUGCUGCCCGGCGCUAACGCCAGGUUGCCACUACGCCAGGAACACCAGGACAGUAACGCCCAGCUACACACCGAUCCAAGUGCCACCACCACAGUAGGACAACGACCCACGUGAUUUAAGCCCAAUAAACCACUGCUGUACAAUUUGUA